rnacentral:lncRNA from 1 species
GUAAAGAGCCUUAAUUUGCUAAACUUUGAAACGAUGGCAUUUUGUCAGACUAAAAGACUUCGUGUAGGUGUACACAGAAUGUCAAGGAUGAGUCAAAGAUUAAUACCUAGAGCAAAGAGUAUGAUGGGAAUUUUAUGCCUCUGCCUUGGAAAUCAUGUUGGGGAAAGGCAAGUAUUGACUGAUUAGAGAGUGCUACUUAUAUUGGCUUGUAAUUUGAUCAGAUGGAUUACACCCAGUUCCAAGUAUGGAGAAAGCCUGAAGCCAUGCAUUUAAAUAGUUCUGCAAAUUCUGUCAAGCAUGGAGCGUAUCCAUUGGCAGGGGAGCGCCAGCUAUGUAAAAGGUCUCAAAAGUUUGGGAGUUCCUUUUAUCUCAGGAUGCAUCACACCGUGAUCAUAAUAAGAAUUUUCCAAAUGCCCAAAUCAUGCUACAAUUGGAGUUCCAGUAAUCUCAAAAGUGAUCCACCAGCAGAAUGAUGUUUUUUAAAUUCUUUAUAAGUAUAUGCAUUUUUGGUAUUCAGUAGCUGCUCGUUAAGUUCUUCAAGUUACCUUGGGUCACUGUGGAUGGGAUGAAAGAACUGCAAGACUCCCUCUGUCCUUGAAGAUCUGAAACAUUCAAUAAAAACAAUUAGACUUGUGUCCCUAGGGAAAAUAUCUUGAUGAUACAAUAAAAUGGCACUAAAAAUGAGAAAAAUCUGUAAAGCCACAAAGCUCAAGGUUCUAAAGAUUGCGUGACAGCAGGCAUAUUGGGAGGGUAAAGGAGCUACACGUGGUUGACUAUCUGUGCAAUAGUUUAAAGAAAUCAUUAUGUCUGUUUAAGGACAUAGAAUCUUGGCCUGAGAAGUAUUAUUGUCACGUAAUUCCUUUAAUUUAGAGCCUGGGCAUAAUUAUGUGCUCAUGACAAUUCUUGCUAUGGGAUGGAAGAGAGUUGACUGUGUGAUAGACUUCGUGUGUGCUCCCAUGGGCUCGGCUUUCAAAAAACCUCAUUUCAUUUUCAGGAGACUCCUGUUGGGUUGAUGGAUCAGACUUUGACAGACUGAAACAAUUAAUUGAGGCUCACAGAGAUAAAGUUAUUUGCCUAAAAUGACACAAAGGAGAAUUUCAAAGUCAGUUGUUUUCUAAAGAGCAGUUUUUGUUUGUUUUUUUAUACUAUUGUGCCAACAAACCCGGUUUUUUAACCUAAAUUCCCUAAAGGAGGCGAUGUUUGCUACCAUGAUGGUGGAACAUUUGGCUACUUGAUUGAAAGGCAAUGAAUCUACUUUCAAAGAAAUCCACAAGUGGUUCGGGGUUCUCACUUUAACACCUUUCUUUGGGUCUUCAAUAUCAAAGUUUAGGAAUUAGGAAUGUGGCCCCUGAUUCAGAUUUUGGCUCAGCCGCUUACCAGCUCUGUGACCUUGAGCAAGUAAACCAACCUUUUUAUUAGACCUCUUUUUCCUUUUUAUGAAAACAAUUAGCAAUAACUCCAUUUGAGGUUGGAACUAAGUGGGCCAUGCUCACGAAAUGCUUAGAACAGUACCAGGCAUGUGGCAAAGGGUCAGUCAAUAUUAGCUGUUAUUAUCCUCAUUGUUCUCAAUUUUUUUUUUUUAGGGUCGCGUAUUGAAAUUCCCAGGCUAGGGGUUGAAUCGGAGGUGCAGAUGCCUGCUUACACCACAGCCACAGCAAACACGGGAUCCUUAACCCCCUGAGCUAGGCCAGAGGUCAAACUGGCAUCCCCUCGGAUACUACGUCCGGUUCUUAACCUGCUGAGUCACAACGGGAACUCCAUGAUUCUCAAAUUUUGAUCUCUUAACCAACCAGCGGUCCCAAGCUGCAGACUCAUAUAUCCUCCUGAUGCUGCUGGUGAGAAUGUUUUCCUGGAUAGUUGCAGACCUCUCCAGCCCCUCAUGUGCAAAAUAGAGCUCACCAUUGACAAGUUAAAACAAAUAGCUGGGUGCAGGGAGUGGUGAGCAAGCCCUGAGUAAAUGUUAGCGGUUAUUGUUAUGAAGCCCCGAGCUAGUCUCUCCUGAAUUCUUCUCUUCCUAAAGGGCACAUCAUCAUCCAGAGAAGCUCAUCCAGAAAGCUGAGUGUUGUCCCAAAUUCCCGAAUUUUCUCCUUCCAGCAAGAUCCAGCCAGUCCCUGCCUCCAUUCAAUUUUUUUUCCCCUCGCAAGUAGCGUUUAUGCCUUCAGUUCCCAAUGCCUCAUCGUUUUGGCUUUAGUUUAUUUGAAUGGGUUUCUAAUGAUCUCUGGGAUACGAGGCAGGUCUCCCACAACUCACUUCCUCCAGUGAUGCUAAAGCGAAUCCUUACAGUUCACACUGAGCCUGCCAUUCACUUGCCCGAAAUCCUUCACUAACGCGCAUCCAGCCCGUAGGAUGUGCCUCUCCCUCCUUUCUGGCCAUGAUAAACAAAGCCACCUUCCGCCCCAGCCUUGCUUCUCGGAUGUACCAGAAGUGGCAGCCACACCGUCUUCAGAAAUUUUCCGUGCAUUUUCAUUCCUAAGUGCCAUUUAAAAAAAAAUUUAAUGAUUUUUUUUCCCAUUAUAGCUGGUUUACAGUGUUUUGUCAAUUUUCUACCGUGCAGCAAGGUGACCCAGUCACACAUACACAUAUACAUUCUUUUUUCUCACGUUAUCAUGCUCCACCAAAAGUGACUAGAUAUCCUAAGGUCCAUUGUAAACACUGUUUUUUAAAUCCAGAAUGGGUUUUCCUCAUUGCCAAGGAAAUAUUUUCAUCCCAAAGGUUGGGAAACAAUGAUUCUUUGAAUACAUUUUUAAAAUUUCAAGUGCAUAUCAUGAGUGUUUGGGGAGCUAAAGAUUUGCCAAUUAGUGGGUGAACAGAAUUCAACUAAGAUAGGCUUAGCAAAGAGGGCAGAAAUUGUUAUUGCUAAUGGCGUUUAUUUUUUAUUAAAUUAUUAUUAUUUUUGUCUUUUUAGGGCUGCACCUGCAGCAUAUGGAGAUUCCCAGGCUAGGGGUCAAAUCAGAGUUGUAGCUGCUGGCCUCCACCACAGCCACAGAAACGGCAAAUCUGGGCAGGAUCUGUGACCUUCACCACGGUUCACAGCAACACCGGAUUCUUAACCUACUGAGUGAGGCCAGGGAUGGAACCUGCCUCCUCAUGGAUGCUUGUCAGAUUUGUUUCCACUGAGCCAUGAUGGGAACUCCACUGAUGGCUUUUAAAGUAGAAAUGAGUAUCAACCUUUGGAUGCUGAGAAAAAUAUAAUCAAAGUCUUUUUCUCAAGGAAUUAUGAACCUAUGAAAAACCCAGACUGUAAACAUUACUGGCACCACUACCGUGGAAAAGGCAAUAGAGCUAUCCAUUGAACUGUCAGUCUCCUUAUGUCCGAGGUGUCUUGCAGAAUCUGAUGUUAGUUUUUACACUGCUUACUGGCAUUGAUUCAAACACAUGCCUUUUUGUAUCAUCUUCAUAGAAAAUUAUUCCCUGGUCCCUCUCCAGGGUUUGAUCCUAAAAUGGCAGUUAACACAUCAACAGAAAAAUAAAAGAAAAAUUGUUUUAAAAAAUCUAGGAAGGGGUGAUUACACCAAAAUAUUCAAGGAAGAGAAGCAAAGUUCUUAGCAUUCCAGGAAGUGGUUGAGAUAAAUAUUUUGCAUGCAAAAAUUCAAUAACAGAUCAUCUUUGCUAUGUCAAUCUGUCUUUUUUUUUUUUUUUAAACGGUUGCAUCCAUGGCAUAUGGAAAUUCCUGGGCCAGGAAUCAAACCUGCACCUCUACAGUGACAUGGGUUGCUGCAGUUUGAUUCUUAACCCACUGCACCAUAGCAGGAACUCCCAAUCUGUCUUUAAUACACAGCUUGUAAAUGUAAACUUAGAAGAUUCUGAAAGGAAGCAUAUUUUGAAUGAUCUAUCUAAAACAGUCCCAAAUUAAGAAGUCAGUCUAAAACCUUCAAAACAGAACGAGUUUGGCCUUGCCUAGGAACAGUGAUCUUUGGUCAUUUCUUCUUCUUCUUCCAGGAUACACUCCAAACUCCCUAGUGUGACACCCAGGACCUCUGUAGUUUUCUCUUUCAGCAGUUGCCCGAUAUCAUUGCUUCUCCACGAACAUCACCCCUUCUAGUCAGACCAAAAUUGCUGGUUUCUUAAGGCAUCCGCUGCUUUCUCAGGCCUCCUUGCCUUUGUACAUGGUUGUCCUUCUGCCCAGUGUACUUUCCCUGUAUAAGUCUCUUUCAUCUUUCAAUACUCUGCACUAAUUACUAGAGAUUGACUUAAUAUCCUGCCUAGAUUUCCUUCUUGGAUAUUCUAUAAUACUGGUCUGUGUUUCUGUUGUACAUAUGCACUGGCUUGUAAUGGUGAUGAAGAUGGUGAUGAAGAUGACGGUGAUGAAGAUGAAGAUGGUGAUGGUGAUGAAGGUGGUGAUGAAAAUGAUGGUGAUGAAGAUGAUGAAGAUGGUGAUGAAGAUGAUGGUGAUGAAGAUGGUGAUGAAGAUAGUGAUGAAGAUGGUGAUGAAAAUGAUGGUGAUGAAGAUGAUGAAGAUGGUGAUGAAGAUG